UAGUCGUGACUGAGAGGUCGAUCGACCACAUUGGGUCUGAGAAAACCCCAAUGCGUAUUAGUACAGCAGUGAGGAAUAUUGGUCAAUGGCCGAAAGGCUGAACCAGUAACUUGGAAGAAUGUAAAUGUAUUCAAGAAAUACAAUAACGAUUAACUCGUAUAAAAUUCUAAAUAGGAUAAUGAUAAUGACAAUUUCCUAUUUAUAAGUCUUGACCAAAUUACGUGCCAGCAGUCGCGGUAAUACGUAGAAGACUAGUGUUAGUCAUCUUUAUUAGGUUUAAAGGGUACCUAGACGGUAAAUUAAACUCUAAAUGAGUACUUUUUUACUAGAGUUUUAUGUAAGAAGGAAGAACUUCUGGAGUAGGGAUAAAAUACGAUACCAGAAGGACUGAUAACGGCGAAGGCGUCCUUCUAUGUAAAAACUGACGUUGAGGGACGAAGGCUCGGGUAGCGAUAAGGAUUAGAUACCCUAGUAGUCCAAGCAGACAAUGAUGAAUGUCAUAGACUAGAUUUAAUAUUUAGUCUAUAAAUGAAAGUGUAAGCAUUCCACCUCAAGAGUAAUA
rnacentral:rRNA from 1 species